rnacentral:lncRNA from 1 species
AUGGCUACAUCUGUGGAGCACAAAUGCUCCAGAUGGAAUUUCCGACACACAAAUGGGGGCUGUAAGCAAAGCGAGGUCACAGCGCUCCCCACCAGCUCAGCAAGCUCAGAAGUGAGGCUGUUCGCAGAAUAACUUGGUAAAGCCUGUUCUAGACUAACGCUUUAAAAAGACUGGGCUAAAAACCUUCUCCCACUGAAAACAAUAAGGGCAUUUCCAUCACCCUUAGCACAGUCAGAAUUNNNNNNNNNNNNNNNNNCUGCUGAAGAAGGAAGAAUGUAAUUUCAGAGUGACUUCCCUGAUGAUAGAGACCAUAUGCUAAUGAUUUAACUAGAAAGUAAUAUGAUUUUUCUAGUGCUUGGAAAUUUCUGUUUUUCAUUUCAGUCAAAAUUACUGUGUGCAUGUAGAAAAUAUUGGUUCAUGA